rnacentral:lncRNA from 1 species
GCCCAGUUCAGCCGUAUCCUUUGUGGGCUCAACUUGAGCCCACUUCAGCUUUGUUGGGCCCUAUUUGGGUCGUACCCAUUAUGGGCCCAGCUUGGGCUCUGUUCAGUCGUGUGGGGCCCUGUUGGGCCGUGUCCAAUAGUAUUUUAGAUUUUGCUUCGUCCUGAAAUUAACAAAGAAAUUUAUUAUAUCUAAACAGGUGCACUUGAUCUGUUUGUUUGAAGUGCGAUUUACGCAAGAAAAGGUAAGUAAUUUAAUACUUCAAAGUGUAUUUUUCAAAGUAUUUGAUAAAAUAAUUAUUAGUGAUUGAAUCUUGAGAUAUAUUUUGUACCUAGUAAAAUGGGUCAUGCAUGUUAAAUAUCAUUUGAAAUUUAUGUUAUAUGUUAUGAAAUCUGGAAAAUGUGACUGGGCAAAUGAUGAAAAAUCUAUUUUGUAUACAUGUAUGUAUUCUCAGCAUGGCUAUGAUCUGGCCCCGCCAAUGGGUAUUAUUUGUUGGCCCUGUCGACUUGUAUCUGUGAGAGACCGGUUUCGACACCGUACAACCGAUGAUUAGAAUAGUAGUGUUUGGACACCGUACCACCGGUGUUUAAUAAUAGUGGUGUUUGGACACCGGACCACCGGUGUAUAAUAAUAGUUGUGUUUGGCACUUUGUGCGACCCAUGCCACUGGAUUUCGUGGCCGUAACCAACAUAUGCUGGAAUUUCCGUAUCAGAGUUUUUGUGAAAAUGAUGAUAAGUUUUGAAAAAAAAAGUGCUUAUCUGUGAUUUAAUUUUCAGUCAUUAUUUUGUG